rnacentral:rRNA from 1 species
AGUGAACGCUGGCGGCGUGCCUAAUACAUGCAAGUCGAACGGAGUGGCGCGCGGGUGAGUAAUGUAUAGCUAAUCUUCCCUACACUAGAGGACAACAGUUGGAAACGGCUGCUAAUACUCUAUAGUGUAGGAUGAGGUGAUAUUGUAUCAGCUAGUUGGGGAGGUAAUGGCUCACUAAGGCUAUGACGCAUAACUGGUCUGAGAGGAUGAUCAGUCACACUGGAAGUGAGACACGGUCCGGACUCCUACGGGAGGGAGCAGUAGGGAAUAUUGCUCAAUGGGGGUGACCCUGAAGCAGCAACGCGGCGUGGAGGAUGACACUUUGCGGAGCGUAAACUCCUUUUGUUAGGGAAGCGGUACCUAACGAAUAAGCACCGGCUAACUCCGUGCCAGCAGCCGCGGUAAUUC